AGUGAACGCUGGCGGUAGGCCUAACACAUGCAAGUCGAACGGCAGCACAGUAAGAGCUUGCUCUUACGGGUGGCGAGUGGCGGACGGGUGAGGAAUACAUCGGAAUCUACUUUUUCGUGGGGGAUAACGUAGGGAAACUUACGCUAAUACCGCAUACGACCUACGGGUGAAAGCAGGGGAUCUUCGGACCUUGCGCGAUUGAAUGAGCCGAUGUUGGAUUAGCUAGUUGGCGGGGUAAAGGCCCACCAAGGCGACAAUCCGUAGGUGGUCUGAGAGGAUGAUCAGCCACACUGGAACUGAGACACGGUCCAGACUCCUACGGGAGGCAGCAGUGGGGAAUAUUGGACAAUGGGCGCAAGCCUGAUCCAGCCAUACCGCGUGGGUGAAGAAGGCCUUCGGGUUGUAAAGCCCUUUUGUUGGGAAAGAAAAGCAGCAGGUUAAUACCCCGCUGUUCUGACGGUACCCAAAGAAUAAGCACCGGCUAACUUCGUG
rnacentral:rRNA from 1 species